GACGAACGCUGGCGGCGUGCUUAACACAUGCAAGUCGAGCGGAAAGGCCACUUCGGUGGUACUCGAGCGGCGAACGGGUGAGUAACACGUGAGUAAUCUGCCCCCCACUUUGGGAUAGCCACCGGAAACGGUGAUUAAUACCGGAUAUGACCCUUGAUCGCAUGGUUGUGGGUGGAAAGUUUUUCGGUGGGGGAUGUGCUCGCGGCCUUUCAGCUUGAUGGUGGGGUAAUGGCCUACCAGGGCUUCGACGGGUAGCCGGCCUGAGAGGGUGACCGGCCACACUGGGACUGAGACACGGCCCAGCCUCCUACGGGAGGCAGGGGUGGGGAAGAUUGGACAAUGGGCGGAAGCCUGAUCCAGCAACGCCGCGUGAGGGAUGACGGCCUUCGGGUUGUAAACCUCUUUCAGUACCGACGAAGCGAAAGUGACGGUAGGUACAGAAGAAGCACCGGCCAACUACGUGCCAGCCGCCGCAGUAAAAC
rnacentral:rRNA from 1 species